rnacentral:rRNA from 1 species
AUGAAAAUGCAGACGAAAAUGACACGAGCUAGUAUUACAAAUGAGCAGAAUAACAGAAAUGCAUUAAAAAUGAAAAAAAUGCACGUGAACUUACUUGUCCUUUUAAAUAUAAUAACAAUGUAUAAUAGAGUAAUAAAAUGGACACCUCCAAGUAUUGGAUGGGUAAAACUGAACUGUGACGGAUCCUAUGCUAUGGAUGGCGCUGGUUCAGGCAUGGUGCUAUGUGAUGUACAGGGGCAAAUCAUCUGCUCUGCUUGUAGGCAGUUUUUCUCAUGUCGUGAAGCGUUAGAAGCAGAGCUGAGUUCUUGCAUGGAGGGUUUGUCGUUUGCUCUUCAGAGAAGUGAGUCUCUGAUAGCCAUUGAGCUUGAUUCUCUGGUAGCUGUGAAGACGAUCCAAGGCCGAGACCGAGAUAGAUCUAUCUAUGCUUCUCUUGUCAAAGAAAUUAGACACCUUAUGUCUCUAUGUGAAACUUGUAUUACUCAUGUUAACCGAUCUCAAAAUAAGGUUAGUUACAGUUUAGCAAAUUUUGCUAGAAUGGAAGGCAGAACCAUGACUUGGAUUGGAUCUGGCCGCCAAUUGCAGUUGAGCUAG